AGCCAGUCAAAUUUUAACUUCCGGGUGUUUUAUCUUUGCAAAACAGACCGUUCAACCGGACAGUGGUGGAUGCGGGCAGGGAAUGCUGUAACGCCGGACAACACAUUUGAAGGAAAACAUGCUGUCAGAAGUCCUGCAGGUGCUGCGUGGGGCUGGUAAAGUGGGGUCUGCCCUGGUCACCACCCAGGUAGAACAGCUCAGAUUAAUGGCUUACAACUCAACACUGGGAGCAGGACUCAAAGUUGCUCAGGAUGUGGUGGAAGGACUGGUCGGUACCUUUGUGGACAGAAGCAGUGGGCAACAGUCAGUAAAAGAGGACGUGUUUCCGGAUGUGGAUGGCUGGGAGAAUAUGGACUCUGAUGAAACAACCAAAUGGUCCGUGGGGUCUGACCUCCCCCCUGAUUCAGUCCAGCAAAGCCAGACAGAAGCUGGAACUGCAGCAGAGAUGUCAACGGGUAUUCUCAAGUUCCAUUUGUUAGCAUGUACAGG